rnacentral:lncRNA from 1 species
GGGAGCUACUCUGAUGUGGCUGAUUUGAGAAUAUCUAUAAAUUAACAGGGAAAAGAAUAAUCACAAUUUUUUUUGCCACUAUCAGUACAACUCCGUUUUCAUUGCCUGGCAUUGAGAAAUGUUUUUAACUUACUUUUGUGGCCUUUUGGCCCACUGAUUAGUUUUACAGUUUGCUACUCUGGGCAAUCUAGACAAUUUACCAUUUGCUUUUCUCCCUUCAUACUCUUGUCUAUGUAUAAUAUCCUCUCCCAUCACCCCAAGACCAAACUGAAUGCGUGAGCACGUGGCAGACAAGUUCUUAUCAUGGGUCACAUUUCAUGCCCUAUUUGCUGUCUAGAUGUGGACUGGAAAUACGAUAAGGAGAUCCUACAACCCAUCACAAUUGGAUGGUGUCUAUACUUGCAAUUAACCUUGCAGUGAGCACAGAAAACUGCUGUGUGAUUUCUGAGUGAUUCCUGAUUCGUCCCUCUGGACAGAUGAGAAAUGUUUUUAUGGUCCAGGAUGACUCUGUUGCCAGCAUCUUCUGAUAGAAGGAAUUACUUUUCCAGGCAGUGCAAUAAUGCUAUUUAUCAAGAGAAACACUGGACAGUCAGAAUGGGCUUCAGAGCUGUGUCCUGAGCCAUCUGGCCAACUCUCGGCAGAAACUUCUUUGUUCAUUAGAGACUGAGCUUUAUCCCCAAGCACUAACAGAGUUGGAAGGGAAGAAGCUGGACUUACUCCUCUUUGCUGCCCAGGUGGUUCUGAUGCACUGUAAAUGUGAGAACUACGACUUCCGGAGGAAGGAAAGGCAGGCAAAUGGAACUGGAAGAGCUCCGGCCAGCAAGACUUCUAGAUAUAUCCACUGCCUUGAAGAAAUUCAUGAUAACAUGCUGAGAGUGGGAAAUAAAUGCAGACCAGAGCCUGGAAGUCCCUAG